ensembl:ncRNA T14G12.9 ncRNA
ACGCUUGGGGAGGUUCGGUUGGGGAUUCAAGCGGAGGAUUUGAUACGAAAAACGAGAACGAUGGCAAACAUCAAUCAACGACGACAACAAGUGCGGUUGGCUGAGGCAAACAGCGGGCGCUACCGUAAGCUUAAAGCACAUAUGCGCAUGUUUAACAGAUAAUAAUAAGAAUAAUAAUAAUAACAAGAGCCGCCGCGCUUU